UAGGGAAUCUUCGGCAAUGGACGAAAGUCUGACCGAGCUACGCCGCGUGAGUGAAGAAGGUUUUCGGAUCGUAAAACUCUGUUGUUAGAGAAGAACAAGGACGUUAGUAACUGAACGUCCCCUGACGGUAUCUAACCAGAAAGCCACGGCUAACUACGUGCCAGCAGCCGCGGUAAUACGUAGGUGGCAAGCGUUGUCCGGAUUUAUUGGGCGUAAAGCGAGCGCAGGCGGUUUCUUAAGUCUGAUGUGAAAGCCCCCGGCUCAACCGGGGAGGGUCAUUGGAAACUGGGAGACUUGAGUGCAGAAGAGGAGAGUGGAAUUCCAUGUGUAGCGGUGAUAUGCGUAGAUAUAUGGAGGAACACCAGUGGCGAAGGCGGCUCUCUGGUCUGUAACUGACGCUGAGGCUCGAAAGCGUGGGGAGCAAACAGG
rnacentral:rRNA from 1 species